rnacentral:misc_RNA from 1 species
UUGGAUUUGUCUUACAACUCACUGAAUGGUACCAUACCAUCUUGGGUGUUUAGCCUACCUUUGCUAUCUUCAGUGUCGCUCCAUCAUAAUCGAUUCAGAGGGAUAGCUGAUGAAGUGAUCAAAACAAACCCAACAUUAGAACGCCUCGAUUUAAGCCAUAAUCAACUCAGUGGUUCUUUUGCUCAAUCACUUGCGAAUCUCAAAAACCUUUAUUACCUUGACCUUUCAUCAAAUAAAAUCACCAAUG